rnacentral:lncRNA from 1 species
AAAUUUAUCAAGAAUUACAAAUCUCAGUCUGCUUGCAUCCAUCACUUCUCCUUUAAAUCUUGCUCUCCCCUUGUACCAAAAUCAAAACAUUUAUCGACAGAAAAACUAGUUAAAUAAACAACGGUCUUGGAAACGGAAAUCACUGAAAAGUCACAUGAGCAAGUUACAGUUUUGGAAAACAACGAAGCUAGCGCUGAAGAAGAAAAAGAGGAGGAGAAAAAAAAGCACAAAAAGGAAGAAGGGGAUUCGAGGCUAUGGAAAUUGAGGCCAAGAAAAGGGAUUUUAGCUAAAAAGAAAAUUCCAAUGAACCUCCAGUAAUUCUCCUUAUGCUUAGAAAAUUCAUAGAUAUAUUGAAAUACAUUGCUGCUUGUUAAAAUGACAUUCUCUUAUAUUGAAGUUGAGAUUUAUUCAUUUGUUGAAAUAUUAUUUUAUUUCAAUUUUGAAUGGGAUUGAGAUAAUUUAUAAUAAUGGGUUUAUGGGAUUGAAAUUGUAUGAUAAGCAUGUUAUUUGCAUAAUUUGAAAAAUUGUUUCUAUUGCUUAUUUUGUUUGUAAGGUAAAAAAAGGCUUAUGGAUAUGUGCUGUUUGAUAAAAUGUUUGAGAGAUAUAGAUUGGGAGAUGAGGAGGUAGGCUAUUGUUGAUGCAGCUAUAACUGUCUCUUGGUGCAGAAUUUGAAGAAGUUUGAGGGAGGUUAUUGCAGAAUUAACUAUGCAUACUGCUGUCUUGUUGCAAAAGGAUAGGGACUGUGGAAUGAAAGUUUUAUUGUGGAUGAAUUGGUACUGCUGAUGUGGUGCCCUUUUUUAUCAAAUUUUUUGAAAUAAGUUGGACUGUUGAGUGGUAAUAUUGCUGCUACAUGGGUAUCUAAUUCCUGUGGAAGAAUGCAGGAAAUGGCUUUUGCCUUGCUGGGUGGGUGCACUGAUGGUUGAGUAGCUGUGGAUAUUGUAGACAUGUAUAUGGGUUAAAAGGGGUCUAUAGUGAAGGGUGUUAGGUUGGCUUGUGAUAUGUGCUGUUGGUAUACUGUUUUAUCUUGAUGUAAAGUGAUUUCUAGUUUUUUG